rnacentral:lncRNA from 1 species
UUUAUCCUUGCCUUCCCCUUCGUCAAAUGUGACCCCCGAUCCCUCUUUUGGUUACGUAGACCCAAAAAGUUCUUUAAAAGGGUUUAUUUACUUUUUUUAUUAAAAAAAAACAAAAAUCAUUUUUGGGUGACUUGGUACACCUUAACUCUAUACCAAGUGGCGACUCCAUUUUCAUUAAAAAACCCUUUUUUGAACUUCACUUGGCCAAAUCGUCGCAUUCUUAAGUCCCAUGGCCUUUUACUUUUCAUUUCGCACACGUUCACAUGUAUAUCACACACACACUUACACCACACACCACACACAUUCACACCAUUUCAAAAAGUGGGGCGCGA